GUAAGGGUUGGAUCUGCCGGCGGUAUAGACAGCAGUGAUGACGCUGCUGUCAGCACGUGGCAGCAGCGCUGUUGGUAGGUGAAGACGUCGCUGCCGCAUGCCGACAGCGACGUUGCUGGGAAAGCAGCAGUUGCACGCUGCUGUUGCUACAGCGUGUAGCGACUGGGUGUCGCCGACGACACCCAGCCACAAGUAUUAAGGGGCGGCGCCUAUCGCUGGUGUCGCCCCUUGAAAUUGGAAAGAAGGAAAGGGGUGAAUUUUAGGGUUUUUGCUUCACUUUCGCGUGAAUGAGAUUAGGACAGGGGCUCAUGUUGCAAUUUCAGAAAUUUUGAGUCUCUAUGUGCAAUUUCUAUUCGGGGUCAAUAUGUAAAUUUUUAAAGAAGGGCUAUUGUGCAAUUUUGUAAUCUUGAGGGCCCUGUUGAUAAUUUGCCAGGGGUCAGUUUGCAAUAUUUUAAAAGGGGACUUGUUCUGCAAUUUUAAAUCUUGAAAGGAUCCGAUGUUAAUUUCAAACUUGGGUCAAUUUGCAAGUUUUCAAAAUGGUUUUGAAUUUGAAUUUUGAAAUAGUUUUAAAAUUAAUUUUAAUUGGAUUCGACCCAUAAUUUUGAUUUUGACCCAAAUUAAAAUUUUAUUUAAAAUUGACGAUAUUUUAUAUUUUCGUUAAAAUUAGAUUUUGACUUAACCAUUAAACUUUGACCCAAUUGAAUUUUUAUUUUAUUUAGAAGUGUUAUCCUAUAUUAAAAUAUUAAUUCAAUUUAAAUUAGAGUUUGACUCUAAUUUAAUACUUAAUUAAAAUUUAAUUUUAAUUA
rnacentral:lncRNA from 1 species